AUUUCUGAAUAGUUAAAGGCAUCCCUUACUCUUCCUAACCAGUUUCACCAUUCCAUAUUGCAUAGUCACGUCACAAAAUAAUUAGGUUCUUUACUUUCUGGACAAACCAUGUAUUGAUUGCACAAAAUAAUUAUUAUGUUACAUUCAAUUUUUAUUGGAUUUUUGUUUUUUCGCGCUGCUGUUUGUUGUUUUCAUCUCUUCUAAUAGUUUGUCU